GAUGAACGCUAGCGGGAGGCCUAACACAUGCGAGCCGAGCGGUAGAGUCUCUUCGGAGACUUGAGAGCGGCGCACGGGUGCGGAACACGUGUGCAACCUGCCUUUAUCUGGGGGAUAGCCUUUCGAAAGGAAGAUUAAUACCCCAUAAUAUACUGGAUGGCAUCAUCUGGUAUUGAAAACUCCGGUGGAUAGAGAUGGGCACGCGCAAGAUUAGAUAGUUGGUGAGGUAACGGCUCACCAAGUCAGCGAUCUUUAGGGGGCCUGAGAGGGUGAUCCCCCACACUGGUACUGAGACACGGACCAGACUCCUACGGGAGGCAGCAGUGAGGAAUAUUGGGCAAUGGGUGAGAGCCUGAUCCAGCCAUCCCGCGUGAAGGACGACGGCCCUAUGGGUUGUAAACUUCUUUUGUAUAGGGAUAAACCUAGAUACGUGUAUCUAGCUGAAGGUACUAUACGAAUAAGCACCGGCUAACUCCGUG
rnacentral:rRNA from 1 species